rnacentral:rRNA from 1 species
GACGAACGCUGGCGGCGUGCUUAACACAUGCAAGUCGAACGGAAAGGCCCCUUUGGGGGUACUCGAGUGGCGAACGGGUGAGUAACACGUGAGUAACCUGCCCUUGACUUCGGGAUAACUUCAGGAAACUGGGGCUAAUACCGGAUAGGAAUCCUUGCUGCAUGGUGGGGGUUGGAAAGCUUCGGCGGUUUUGGAUGGACUCGCGGCUUAUCAGCUUGUUGGUGGGGUAGUGGCUUACCAAGGCUUUGACGGGUAGCCGGCCUGAGAGGGCGACCGGCCACAUUGGGACUGAGAAACGGCCCAGACGCCUACGGGAGGCAGCAGUGGGGAAUAUUGCACAAUGGGCGGAAGCCUGAUGCAGCAACGCCGCGUGCGGGAUGACGGCCUUCGGGUUGUAAACCGCUUUCAGCAGGGGCGAAGCUUGUGGUGACGGUACCUGCAGAAGAAGCACCGGCUAACUACGUG